AGCAGACUGAGCAAUUGCGGGGCGGUGCGAGCCGCCAUGAGGAAAGUCCGAGCAUCACACAGCAGGGUAACGGCUAACGGCCGCCGAGGGUGACCUCCGGGAAAGUGCAUAGAGAUAUACCGCCGCAUUUUGCGGUAAGGGUGGAAAGGCGAGGUAAGAGCUCACCGGGAUGUCGGUAACGGCAUUGCCAAGUAAACCCUACCCGAUGCAACAUCGACUGAAGUUGUCAGCUGGGCAGAUACUUCGAAGGAUGGCUUCAGCACAUCGGCAACGGUGUGCGUAGACAGAUAAUUGCUUUUAACGACAGAACUCGGCUUACAGGUUCGCUCA
rnacentral:RNase_P_RNA from 1 species